rnacentral:rRNA from 1 species
AUUGAACGCUGGCGGCAGGCCUAACACAUGCAAGUCGAACGAGUGGCGGACGGGUGAGUAAUGUCUGGGAAACUGCCCGAUGGAGGGGGAUAACUACUGGAAACGGUAGCUAAUACCGCAUACCAUCGGAUGUGCCCAGAUGGGAUUAGAUAGUAGGUGGGGUAACGGCUCACCUCGGCGACGAUCCCUAUCUGGGCUGAGAGGAUGACCGGCCAUACUGGAACUGAGACCCGGUCCAGAGUCCGACGGGAGGCAGCAGGAGGGAAUCUUCCACAAUGGGCGAAAGCCUGAUGGAGCAAGUCCGCGUGUGUGAUGAAGGCCUUCGGAUCGUAAACUUCUGUUAUUAGGGAAGCGUUACCUGCACAGGAAGCCACGGCUAACUACGUGCCAGCAGCCGCGGUAAUAC